rnacentral:rRNA from 1 species
UUGACCUCGGAUCAGGUAGGAAUACCCGCUGAACUUAAGCAUAUCAAUAAGCGGAGGAAAAGAAACCAACAGGGAUUGCCCCAGUAACGGCGAGUGAAGCGGCAACAGCUCAAAUUUGAAAUCUGGUCCCCAGGGCCCGAGUUGUAAUUUGUAGAGGAUGCUUUUGGCAAGGUGCCUUCCGAGUUCCCUGGAACGGGACGCCAUAGAGGGUGAGAGCCCCGUCUGGUCGGACACCGAGCCUCUGUAAAGCUCCUUCGACGAGUCGAGUAGUUUGGGAAUGCUGCUCAAAAUGGGAGGUAUAUGUCUUCUAAAGCUAAAUAUAGGCCAGAGACCGAUAGCGCACAAGUAGAGUGAUCGAAAGAUGAAAAGCACUUUGAAAAGAGGGUUAAAAAGUACGUGAAAUUGUUGAAAGGGAAGCGCCUAUGACCAGACUUGAGCCCGGUGAAUCAUCCAGCGUUCUCGCUGGUGCACUUUGCCGGGCACAGGCCAGCAUCAGUUUGGCGCGGGGGAUAAAGGCUUUGGGAAUGUGGCUCCCUCGGGAGUGUUAUAGCCCAUUGCGCAAUACCCUGCGCCGGACUGAGGUACGCGCAUCGCAG